GGAGAGGUGACCGAGUGGUUCAAGGCGCUGCAUAAAACGAUUUUCAUGCAGUCUGUUCUCCAAGACAGUCGUGGGUUCGAAUCCCUCCCUCUCCC